ensembl:lncRNA
AUUAGGAAACUGGCAAAGAUGCUUCACUGUGGCCUGACUGAAGGCAGCGAGUGGUGAAACCACUGCAGCUCAGACUGUCCAUGAACCUGUGUCAGUCGGAGGAGGGCAGAGGGCCAGAGAGGGAGCAGGGAGGAAGCUAGGCCUUUCACUGAGUUGAAUACAUCACCUGUGACCAGAGCCUGUGGACAGUUCAGCAAGUAGCCUCCCACUGUGUGUCUGUGUCCGGUGGGACCGGGGAAGCUGUGAUGCAAAGCAGGAGAGUUUCAGUCAAAAUCAAUCAACAGAUACGAAGUACAACCGCGACGUGAUGGUGUUAGAUCUUCAAUGCAGACUCUGCAGACUCUGGAAACUGGUUUUGUGAAGGGGCUUCCCAGGUGGCUUGGUGGUAAAGAAUUAGCUUGCAAUGCAGGAGUCCCGGGAGACACGAGUUCAAUUCCUGGGUGGGGAAGAUCCCCUGGAGAAGGGAAUGGUGACCCCUCAAGUAUUCUUACCUGGAGAAUCCCAUGGACAGAGGAGCCUGGCGAACUACAGUCCAUGGGGUUGCAAAAAGUUGGACACAACUGAAGCAACAGAGCAUGCGUGCGUUCAUUUCAGAUGGCCUCGGGGUGCAGUAAUAUCCUCUGUGGUAUGCAGCAUCUACACAUCCAGGGCAGCUCUUGGCUGAGGCCAGCUGGACCAGACUGCAUGUGCAGGGAGGGGCUGCUGCCCGGGAGCGGACCCUGGACCAUCUGCCCACACCAGGGCCCGUGGAAGCACCAGCCUGGAAGGCAUCUGGCCCAGGACUCAGCAUCACUCUUCUGAUGUGAACACUUAAUAAAGAUAAAUAUAAAGUUGCA